UUUCCGUAGGUGAACCUGCGGAAGGAUCAUUCAUAAUAAGUGUUUUACUGCACUUUCUAAAAAUAGUACUCACCUUGUGUGCAAUGCUGUGUUUCUUUUCGGAGAAACACCUACACCAACCUAUAACCUUGAACCACUUUGUCUGAAAAACUAUUAUGAAUACUUAAUUCAGAAUACAACUUUCAACAACGGAUCUCUUGGCUCUC
rnacentral:misc_RNA from 1 species